rnacentral:rRNA from 1 species
UACGUAGGGGGCAAGCGUUGUCCGGAAUCAUUGGGCGUAAAGAGCGUGUAGGCGGUUCAGUAAGUCUGCUGUGAAAGUCCAGGGCUCAACCCUGGGAUGCCGGUGGAUACUGCUGGGCUAGAGUACGGAAGAGGCGAGUGGAAUUCCUGGUGUAGCGGUGAAAUGCGCAGAUAUCAGGAGGAACACCAAUUGCGAAGGCAGCUCGCUGGGACGUAACUGACGCUGAGACGCGAAAGCGUGGGGAGCAAACAGG